UACGUAGGGUCCGAGCGUUGUCCGGAAUUAUUGGGCGUAAAGGGCUCGUAGGCGGUCUGUCGCGUCGGCUGUGAAAACCCGGGGCUCAACCCCGGGCCUGCAGUCGAUACGGGCAGACUAGAGUGCGGUAGGGGAGACUGGAAUUCCUGGUGUAGCGGUGAAAUGCGCAGAUAUCAGGAGGAACCCCGGUGGCGAAGGCGGGUCUCUGGGCCGUAACUGACGCUGAGGAGCGAAAGCGUGGGGAGCGAACAGG
rnacentral:rRNA from 1 species